UGCGGGGGGAGCAAGCGUUGUUCGGAUUUACUGGGCGUAAAGGGCGCGUAGGCGGCCACCGCAAGUCAAUUGUGAAAUCUCCGGGCUUAACUCGGAAAGGUCAACUGAUACUGCGGGGCUAGAGUGCGGAAGGGGCAACUGGAAUUCUCGGUGUAGCGGUGAAAUGCGUAGAUAUCGAGAGGAACACCGGUGGCGAAGGCGGCCAACUGGACGAAUACUGACGCUGAGACUCGAAAGCGUGGGGAGCAAACAGG
rnacentral:rRNA from 1 species